rnacentral:tRNA from 1 species
GUGACUAUAGCUCAGUAGGUAGAGUCCUGGAUUGUGAUUCCAGUUGUCGUGGGUUCGAAUCCCACUAGUCACCCA